UGUAAACAGUCAAUGAGAUUAUUAGAAGUGAUAAAAAUGGAAAUGCACAAGAAGUACAACAUACUAACAAAAAAUUUAGAGCAAGGACUGACAUGACGAUAGGAAAAAUGAAUCAAUGAGGUUAUUAGAAGUGAUAAAAAAAGAAAUGCACAAGCAAUGCAAAAUACUAAAAAGAAUUCUAGGAGGUUUCACAUGACUACGGGCAAAUGAUUUUUGCUUUCAGCGAAUUUAUGGAGACAACAGGUGGCUCUGAGCUUGGCAACCUAGCAUGUACUGAAUAUAUCUCUGAAUGACUUACUGCAAGUGUGUGUCAUUAAAGUAACGAAUUGUUCUUCACAAGCUUGAUUCCUGAUAAUCAAGGGCCAAUGCAUCAGACAGCUGCCACUGCAAUGUAUAGAAAAGAGACCAAGUUGAUGCAAAACUCCUACAUAUUACAACACCGCUGCCACUGCAAUUCAGGC
rnacentral:lncRNA from 1 species